rnacentral:rRNA from 1 species
AUUGAACGCUGGCGGCAGGCCUAACACAUGCAAGUCGAAUGGUAACAGGAAACAGCUUGCUGUUUCGCUGACGAGUGGCGGACGGGUGAGUAAUGUCUGGGAAACUGCCUGAUGGAGGGGGAUAACUACUGGAAACGGUAGCUAAUACCGCAUAACGUCGCAAGCCCAAAGAGGGGGACCUUCGGGCCUCUUGCCAUCAGAUGUGCCCAGAUGGGAUUAGCUAGUAGGUGGGGUAACGGCUCACCUAGGCGACGAUCCCUAGCUGGUCUGAGAGGAUGACCAGCCACACUGGAACUGAGACACGGUCCAGACUCCUACGGGAGGCAGCAGUGGGGAAUAUUGCACAAUGGGCGCAAGCCUGAUGCAGCAAUGCCGCGUGUAUGAAGAAGGCCUUCGGGUUGUAAAGUACUUUCAGCGGGGAGGAAGGGAGUAAAGUUAAUACCUGUGCUCAUUGACGUUACCCGAAGAAGAAGCACCGGCUAACUACGUG